AGUGAACGCUGGCGGUAGGCCUAACAUAUGCAAGUCGAACGGCAGCACAGUAAGAGCUUGCUCUUACGGGUGGCGAGUGGCGGACGGGUGAGGAAUACAUCGGAAUCUACUUUUUCGUGGGGGAUAACGUAGGGAAACUUACGCUAAUACCGCAUACGACCUACGGGUGAAAGCAGGGGAUCUUCGGACCUUGCGCGAUUGAAUGAGCCGAUGUCGGGUUAGCUAGUUGGCGGGGUAAAGGCCCACCAAGGCGACGAUCCGUAGCUGGUCUGAGAGGAUGAUCAGCCACACUGGAACUGAGACACGGUCCAGACUCCUACGGGAGGCAGCAGUGGGGAAUAUUGGACAAUGGGCGCAAGCCUGAUCCAGCCAUACCGCGUGGGUGAAGAAGGCCUUCGGGUUGUAAAGCCCUUUUGUUGGGAAAGAAAAGCAGCAGGUUAAUACCCCGCUGUUCUGACGGUACCCAAAGAAUAAGCACCGGCUAACUUCGUG
rnacentral:rRNA from 1 species